rnacentral:rRNA from 1 species
AACGAACGCUGGCGGCAUGCUUAACACAUGCAAGUCGAACGAGACCUUCGGGUCUAGUGGCGCACGGGUGCGUAACGCGUGGGAAUCUGCCCUUUGCUACGGAAUAACUCAGAGAAAUUUGUGCUAAUACCGUAUAAUGUCGUAAGACCAAAGAUUUAUCGGCAAAGGAUGAGCCCGCGUAAGAUUAGCUAGUUGGUGAGGUAAAGGCUCACCAAGGCGACGAUCUUUAGCUGGUCUGAGAGGAUGAUCAGCCACACUGGGACUGAGACACGGCGCAGACUCAGACGGGAAGCAGCAGUGGGGAAUAGUGGAGAAUGGGCGAAAGCCUGAACCAGCAAUGCCGCGUGAGUGAUGAAGGCCUUAGGGUUGUAAAGCUCUUUUACCAGGGAUGAUAAUGACAGUACCUGGAGAAUAAGCUCCGGCUAACUCCGUGCCAGCAGCCGCAGUAA